rnacentral:rRNA from 1 species
UAAUACGGAGGAUCCAAGCGUUAUCCGGAAUCAUUGGGUUUAAAGGGUCCGUAGGCGGCCUUAUAAGUCAGCGGUGAAAGUUUUUGGCUUAACCAAAAAAUUGCCGUUGAUACUGUAGGGCUUGAAUUUUUGUGAAGUAACUAGAAUAUGUAGUGUAGCGGUGAAAUGCUUAGAUAUUACAUGGAAUACCAAUUGCGAAGGCAGGUUACUAACAAACGAUUGACGCUGAUGGACGAAAGCGUGGGUAGCGAACAGG